rnacentral:lncRNA from 1 species
UUCACACCCCUCCUCCAAAGGUUGUUCCUCUACAAAUCCUCUUUGAAAAACCAGAAAUCCAAUUGCCAUCAGUGUCUUGAAUCAACCCCCGACAAAGGCUCUGAAUUUUUGAACAGUUUCAACAACAGGGUCUAUGACAGAACAUUCAAGCAUAUCACACAGAUAUGGAGAAGGAGUCUAUGGAUAGAAAGGGGUGAAUUACAUAUAACUCUGAAGAGAACCUAUGAAUGCGUCGCUUAGCUAGCUAGUUAUAACUCUAGGGUUAGAAAAAGGGGAAAAUGGAAAGACAACACAUAAAAUUAAAGGAAUAGAGAUGGACAAGGAGGAAAUACUCACCUCCAGAAACACCUAGACAUCAGCUUUGGAUCCCCCAUCUUUAAAGCCUUGAUACUCCAAAAAGGAAAAAACAUCCGUGUUGGACACUCAUAUAUAUGUCUCUGAUAUGUUCGAAAUAUAUCGGAGAAGUAUCUGAUUUAUUUUUUAAAAAAAAA